rnacentral:rRNA from 1 species
UACGGAGGGUGCAAGCGUUGUCCGGAAUCACUGGGCGUAAAGGGCGCGUAGGCGGCUCAUGAAGGCUGUGGUGAAAGUCCGGGGCUCAACCUCGGAUCGGCCGUGGCGACUCGUGGGCUGGAGCACUGUAGAGGCGGGUGGAAUUCCGGGUGUAGCGGUGGAAUGCGUAGAGAUCCGGAAGAACACCAGUGGCGAAGGCGGCCCGCUGGGCAGUGGCUGACGCUGAGGCGCGACAGCAUGGGGAGCGAACAGG